AUUGAACGCUGGCGGCAGGCCUAACACAUGCAAGUCGAACGAGUGGCGGACGGGUGAGUAAUGUCUGUGAAACUGCCCGAUUGAGGGGGAUAACUACUGGAAACGGUAGCUAAUACCGCAUACCAUCAGAUGUGCCCAUAUGGGAUUAGCUAGUGGGUGGGGUAAAGGCUCACCAAGGCGACGAUCCCUAGCUGGUCUGAGAGGAUGACCCGCCACACUGGAACUGAGACACGGUCCAGAUCCCUACGGGAGGCAGCAGUGGGGAAUAUUGAACAAGGGGCGCAAGCCUGAUGCAGCCAUGCCGCGGGUAUGAAGAAGGCCUUCGGGUUGUAAAGUACUUUCAGCGGGGAGGCGUUACCCGCAGAAGAAGCACCGGCUAACUCCGUGCCAGCAGCCGCGGUAAUUC
rnacentral:rRNA from 1 species